rnacentral:piRNA from 1 species
ACUGAUUUGACAGCAGGCAUCCAGAU